UCUCAGUUCGGAUUGCAGGCUGCAACUCGCCUGCAUGAAGUCGGAAUUGCUAGUAANCGCGGAUCAGCAUGCCGCGGUGAAUACGUUCCCGGGCCUUGUACACACCGCCCGUCACACCAUGAGAGCCGGUAACACCCGAAGUCAGUAGUCCAACCGCAAGGGGGGACGCUGCCGAAGGUGGGGGCUGGUGAUUGGGGUGAAGUCGUAACAAGGUAGC
rnacentral:rRNA from 1 species